UCUCACACUAAGAGAUGACAAAAAUAACACCCUCCUUCAUGUGGCAUGUCGAGGUGGAAAUAGUGACAUUGUAGAAGAUCUGCUUCCACUGUUUCACAUCAAUUGUCGGGGAAACGUGGGUUGGACACCUUUGAUGGCAGCAGCUUUGUGUGGGAAGAAGGAUGUUUUCGGCCUGCUCGUGUCAAAGGGAGCUGAUCUUACACUAAGAGAUGACAACAAUGACACCCUCCUUCAUCUAGCAUGUGUAGGUGGAAAUAGUCCCAUUGUAGAAGAUCUGCUUCCACUGUUUGACAUCAAUUGUCGGGGAGAAGAGGGUUGGACACCUUUGAUGGUAGCAGCUUUUUUGGGAAGAAGGAUGUUGUCGACUUGCUCGCGUCAAAGGGAGCUGAUCUCACACUAAGAGAUGACAAAAUAACACCCUCCUGCAUGUGGCAUGUCGAGGUGGAAAGGUCUCAUUGCAGAAGAUCUGCUUCCACUGUUUGACAUCAAUUGUCGGGGAGAAAAGGGCUGGACACCUUUGACGGCAGCAGCUUUUCUUGGGAAGAAGGAUGUUGUCGACCUGCUCGUGUCAAAGGGAGCUGAUCUCACACUAAAAGAUGAC